CUGCUGCCUUCCGUAGGAGUCUGGGCCGUGUCUCAGUCCCAGUGUGGGGGGCCUUCCUCUCAGAACCCCUACGCAUCGUCGCCACGGUGGGCCGUCACCCCGCCGUCUAGCUAAUGCGCCGCAUGCCCAUCCGCCACCGGAUCGCUCCUUUGGCCACCGGAGGAUGCCCUCCGGUGGCGUCACGGGGUAUUAGGCCGCGUUUCCGCGGGUUAUCCCCCUGUGGCGGCCAGGUUGCAUACGUGUUACUCACCGUGCGCCGGUCGCCGG
rnacentral:rRNA from 1 species